GAACACGGUAACUGUUUCCAAAGCAGAAAAACUAAGGGCAAGGGCUCUGUACACAUUGCAUCGUAAUGUGGCUGAUGCUUGGGCAAAGCAAAUACUGUGUAUGGUAGAUUUGUGUGAGGCAAGCUAGGAGUCAAAAAGCCUGCUGCAUACUAGCAAAUGACCAACAUAUUGUUGCAUGUUGAAAUUCUUUUUUUAUUCCUCAUCACUCAUUUGUGUAGGGGAGACGGCUCUCACAACUGGAGAAGCCUGGAAAGCAUGCAGUACUCCACAAAACCAGUUUCAACGUAGAAUGUGUCUGCAUCUCAUAAUUUCAUGGCUGCAAGAGUGAGCCCAAUGCCUGUCGAGACAAGGUUUCUGUACAUGGCCAUGGCGCUCAAGGAAGAAACCGAGACUGUAGACUGCCAACGUUCAUUCCUGUUCCGGCAAAGACGGGCCAGCAGUGACCAGCAGGAUUUUACAAAGUGAACUCAUCACAGCUUGAGCCACUCCAUGCCACAAGCAGUUGCUCCUCGAGCCACCGUGCAAAGGUUCCUUGGGGCACAAGACCAACUCAGCGCCACAACCUUUCUUCUGCAGUUUUUCUACCUACUUAGCUAACCAGCAGCAAGUUUAUCCUUGCAAGGCAUGUGGGAACAGCUUUCACCAGGAAAAGUACAAGACGAGUGGUCGAAGAAAAUAAAAUUGCUUCUGUGAUGUAAAGUACUU